GUUUAAUUUGCUGUGCUUUCAGGUUUCACAGGUGUUGAUGAUCCGUACGAGCCACCACUAAAUGCAGAGAUAGUAUUACGUCAAAGAGAAGAGAAGUAUGAUUCUCCAACUCAUUUGGCCGAAAUAGUUAUUUCAUACUUGGAGAAAAAAGCUUACUUGGAAGCAUAACUUGCUAUUGCAAGUAGCCGUUCUCAUGCAAUUAAAAAAACGCCGUGUUUUCUUUUUUUGCAUUUUUGUUGUAAUUAUUUAAUAGAUCAGUCAAUUUUUUAGCAGUUUAAUAAAUGUAAUAAAUUGUGAAAAAUAAAGUGUGGAGCUUUCUCCUUUUUACUGCC